ensembl:antisense Gm14453 predicted gene 14453
GGGACCCACUGCCCAGCCUGCGGGCAGCCCAUGCUGCCAGAGAUACCCACUCCUCCCCUCCUAGACGUGGGCUGGACCUUCUCUCUGUGCAGCUAGGUCAGACUGGCACAGGUGACAACGGGAGGGUGGGUGGGCAGAGCCUGCUUGAGGGGCACAGGGCCAGGAAGAAGGCCCCCAUGGCACAGCAACAGACACCUGAGAACUCGCCCUGAUGGGCACCUCUGCAGAGGUGUAGCCUGUUACCCAGCACCUGGGGACCAUGACCUGAGCUCAGACCUCAGGACCUGACUCCAACAUGAGGAGAAAGUGAGAUGGGAGUAAGCAGGCAUCUUGCCACAGCAAGGUUCUCCCUAAGAGCAGAGAGCAGCCUUCUGGAGUAAAAGGCCAGGAGAGACUCCAAUGGCUGCCAGGCUGGAGACAAACCUCAGCUCCCAUGAGUCUUAGGCUGAGAGUGGAUAAACACCCUUGACCCUGGGAGGCCAGGACAAACCCAAUCAACGCUUACCCAUCUCCACUGUGCAGUCCUCCCUUCUCACCCGCAUCACUGUGCCCC